GGAUACCCAAAGUAAAGCACAGGAUAAUAGAAAAAUAUAUUUUUUUCCAUAAAAGGGAAAAUUCAAUUUAAAUCCUUUCCUUUCUUGAACAGCCAGCCAUUUCUCUCUCUCGUUCUCCUAGUUUUUCUGUACGCACAACUUCAGACCCUGAAGGCCCCAAAAGAAGGUAAACGUUAAACGAAGAGGAAAACCCAUAAAUUAAUUAAUUAGGGUUCUUCUCCUCCUCUUCUUCUUCUUCUUUGUGCUCUGGUGCUCUGGUGCUCUGGUGCUCUGGUGCUCUAGUGCUCUAGGCAUGUUGUUGUGAACUAUUGACCUAUUUCGGUUGGUGGGUUUUUCCGGGUUUUGUUCACAUAGAUCUGGGGGCCAUUAAAUGUUUAAAAUUUAUAGAAGAAACCCAGAAAAUAUUUUGUAGUUUUUGAGUGUAUGAACAUAAUAAUAUAUGUGAAAAGUGGUUGGUUUGAAUUUUUUUGAAGGGAGAUGGUGAAAAUGAUGAGGGAGAAGAUCAAGAUCAAGAAGAUUGACUACCUGCCAGCAAGGCAGGUGACCUUCUCAAAGAGGAGAAGAGGGAUCUUCAAGAAAGCUGCAGAGCUAUCUGUUCUGUGUGAAUCUGAGGUGGCAGUUGUCAUCUUUUCUGCUACUGGCAAGCUUUUUGAUUAUUCAAGCUCAAGGUACCAGCAACACCCACCCCUAUACCUUAUAAUUCUUUUGACUUUUCCUUCCUUGAAAAAAUAACCAAUAUGUAUGAUCAUGGUGUCUCUGAAGUCUGAUGACUUGACUUCUCUCUAUGUGGGAGAGGGAGAGGGAGAGAUUCUGAGAUUCAGUCAUUUGGGUAGAAAUAUAUUUAGAGGAGAGGGAGGGUGCCUUUCUGGAAAUUCCCUGUCCUUCCUGAAAUUCCGUGGUUUGAACUGAGCUCACAGACAUUAUUUAUUGUGUCUAAACUUCCGAAAGAAAAAAAGGAGAAUCCAGAAGCUUAGAGAGAGAGAGAGAGAGAGUCAGUCUUGUAGAUGAUACUUUUAGAUAUUACUUUUUUGGGGUCGAUUUUUACUUUUAGAUAUACUCUGUCUCAAAGGCAACUAGUUCGAGGGUUACUACCUUGUAUAUAUACCACUCCAAGAAAAUAGUCUAUUUUUGAUAAAGAAAACUUCUAGUUAGGUGUCCCAGUUUGAGAAACAUUAUUUUUUUAGUUUUCCAUGUUUUUCAUGCAAGAUGUGGUGUAUAUAUGGUGAUGUUCUUUUUUACGUGCAAUCAAUUUUGUUUACCAUAUGCUAAACUCUGUAUAUCUUGUUCGGUAACUGGUUUUCAUAUAUACUCGCAUAGUUUAGUAUGUUGCUGCUUCAAUAUCAUGUCCCACCUAACACAUAUUGGUAAUAGAUAAUAUAUGAAAUCUUAGGUCGCGCUUAUACAGUGAAGAAUAUCCCUGUCCAAGGAGCUAAAAUUAAUGGUUCCCUUAUGAGAGAUACGGUAUGUUAGAUCAUCAGUCGAAUCAUACACUCAAACAACAAUACAGAUCACCAAUUUUAGAUUCAUAGUCUGACCACAUAAAAUGAUAAAUUUGCUAAUAAAAUAGCAUUUUACUCUUUACCAUAUAUAUACAUCUAUUUGUAUAUAUAUUAUCCUUUGAACUUAAGAUAGUGGCGGGUUGUGUUUGAAAAGGUGUCAAUUCAUUUUCCCCACCUAAACUACAAAAUGCCAGUUUGGCCAAGGGGAAAGUAGCACCCAACUCCUUAUAAGCUUUCGUUAGGUUUCUCAACUUCCAAAAAUUAUUGUGGGACAUUUCUUCACAUUCUCACACGCCCCCUCACGUGUGGCGACAUUUCAAGCCUAACACGUGGACAUCACAUUAGGUGACGUAGAGCAAGUGUGGACAUUGGGCUUCACACGUGAACAAACCCGCUAUGAUACCAUAAAGGAAGUUGAGGUUUCACCCCAAAAUCAAUUGGCCAAUAGGAGGAGUAACCCAACUCCUUAUAAGGCCGUGCUAAGUUUCUCUAACUUUCCAAUGUGGGACAUUUCUUCACAUUCUCACAGUUACAUUGAAUUAUGUGAUUUGUAGUUUUCUUACUAGGAAUAAAGUGAUAUGAUGAUAACUUGGGAAUUCAUCAUAGAAGCCUUGAAGACUUUCAGCAGGAAUAUGCAUGCAUGCUUUCCAAUAAGGCAAUGGGUGGUGGAGCCAUGACCAUUACAUGUUUUUGCCAUGAUUGCAUGAAAGAUUUUGUUAAAACCUAGUUUCAUACUUAGAUGUGCAUGCAUGAGAGGGAGGGUGAGAAUGAAAUGUUAACUAUGGAAUACGAAUUUAAAUAAGGUCAUGUGCUUCCUUUCAGUUAACAAAAAUAAUUGCACAUUGUAAGCGCUGGUCAUUUAUAUUUAAUUAAAAAAAACCUAGAAAUACUACCUCUAAGGUGGUCUUCUUUAACCCAAAAUACACUCCAUAUAUAAAAAGAAUACUCUUAUAUGGCGAUGGUUUUUUUUAUAAAAAUAUUCUGUAUUGUGUGCACGAAUUAACAAUUUUUUUUUUUAAUUUAAAAAAAGUUAUCAUCUAAAAGCUACAUCUAUUUGCGUUGGUUAUUAUCGAACAACAUUAAAAGACAGAGAAAUCAAAACUGUAAGUAACAAACACGUACUAAUGGAGGUCUUUAAUUCUUUAUGUCAGAGUGCAAUUUCUAAUCAAUUUCCGUUGUAAAUUUAAUUUAAAUGUUAAUUUUCUAGGUUUCUGGGCCUAAUUUGUCUACUUUUUUUAUUUUUUCUAUUUUUAAAAGUUUUUCUAAUUGUAUUUCUAUUAAAGCUCUCGAUAUUGCAUUCCAUGUUUCCAUUUGUGCAUGUGUACUUGCAACCAAUGCAUAAGCCAUAAAACGAUCUUGCAUUGAAACUAAAGAAGAUUUUGCUUUGCAUUAUUUUUCAAACUUUUCCAAGUUUCCAAGUAGAGCAAUGUGUCAAACGUUUCCAAGUAAAGGUUCCAUGAGACUCAUCCAUUCUUAAUGCACGGGGCAGAGGUUGAAGUCUAAAACCUAUACAUGACCUAGCCCGAAGCGGAUAGCUUUUCUUAAGGUUUUUAAGGGUUUAGUAAUGAUUCAUCUUUGCAUGGUAGCCUACCAAACCUAACAAUAUAUUCAAAGCAUAUUAGUCGACUUGAUGGUCUCAGAGUUGACGUCAGAGGAACUGUGACUAAGAUUUUUGAGGCCCACUUCUUAUCAGUUGACUUGAUACGUGGGUUUGCUUUGCUUUGUGUUCGAAAAUAUCUCAGCUGCUAUUGAAGGAAUUUGACUUGACGUUUUCAUUUGCGAUAUGUGAUUUGUGUGUUUUAAAGCCAAGCUGAUAUUUUUUUUAUUUUUUAUUUUUUUGGUUUGGGGGGAGGGGGUUCUUAGCUUAUUGCAUGCAUGUGUAGUUUGGUUACUGUUGAUAUUACUUUUUGUAAUAAAUUCUAAUGAAAUAGGUAAUAUAUUCUUUGUACUUGGUUUCUCUUGAGAUGAUUAGUCCCUUUCUUGGGUCUGCAAUAUAUAAUUGGAGGAAAUCAAAUUUUGGGUCUGCAGAAAAUUGGAAAUCAAAGUUUGCAUUAUAAUUGAAACUGAAAUUUCUCUGAUAUCUGGUUAUGUUAGUUAUAGAAACCAAAGUCAGAAAAUAAUUCAAUCAAAAGCCAUGCACACAUAUCAUACAAUGAUAUCAUUUAUUAGUCUUAUACAAAAAAAAUAAAAAUAAAUAAACAUGAGUGUAUCUCUGUGUUUGCAAACCAGAAGUUUGAAUAAUGGGGGUUAAAUUCUUUUCCAUGUUUUUGUUUCUCAUGUAUGCUUAGUCACGUUAAUUUUUCUGUCUAAUAAUUUACUAGUGAACAUGCCAAUUGAUUGUUUUUUUUAAUCCUUUUCUGUUGUGAAGUAUCAAGGAUGUUAUUGAAAGGUACGAAGUGCGCACAAAUGGUGUCGAAAAAUCGGAUGAACAGUCUCUUGAGCUGCAGGUAAAUGAGUUCAAUGAUUUUCCCUUUCCCCCUUUUAAUUGUUCUGCAAUUAAUUGUAACAUACUCUGUGAUCUGCACUUUGGAGCUUCAAAAUGUAUCUCUAUAGCAUCCGACGGUUCUGAUUGUUUGAACAUAGAUAAAAAAAGCAUUGUCAGACUCAUGUAUAUGCAUGCAGCAGGGUCGGCCUCUUGGGCUAAAUAUAUAUAGGUGGCUUUGAUAAGUCCCAACUCUAGUGGGACUUCAUCUGGUGUACAUAAAGAAUUAGCCAAUGAAAAAUUGGAACAUAGAAUCAUCAUCAAAUAUCAAUUAUUAUUUACUUUUACCGUUGGUUGUUUUCCAAGCGUUCCUUUUUUUCAUUUUUAAUUAUGCUAAAGGUAGAGUGUGAAGUAUUGUAACCAUUUGAGUUACAAAUUCAUUGUUUUUCAAACUUUAGUUUUAGGGGCAUGCAGCUGAUUUAAUUUCUUAUGAUAGUUGAGUUGGAGACUUCUAUUGAAUCGAUAUUACAGCCUCCUAGAGUAUCAGUUUUUUCUCCCUAAUUUUAAUAACUUAUUGGUUUAGAAAAAAGAAAAGGAACGAUUUUACUUUUUUGUUUUGAAAUGAGUGAUUUUCUGUCCAAAAUGUAGUACGAUUUUACUAUUAUGUUUUGACAAUAUUGAUUAGGGGUGGGAGGCCAUAGGCUUAAGUACAUCAGUUAAAGGUAACCAAUAACCGUAGCUCUCACGCAGCUGAAAACAGAGACCAACCGCACUCGCAUCUAGGCUCUCACACCGCAAUCACAUUAAGGGGAGGAGCUCCACCCCCCUUCUAACGUCCUCGUUGGCCCACUCUAUCUACACUGACUCGGUGGUAGCCUUUUACUUUCUUUGAGGCGGCUUCACUCAACUAUCAGUAUUCAGUGAUCAAUAUCAUGCCCAUACAUAACACCGAUCAUCUUAAUCCAAUGUAUAGGUCACCCCUUUUGUGGAAUUGGGCCCAGUUGCGUGGUGAACUCAGGCUUUGAUACCAAAUGUUAAGAACUCAUGGGUAGAAUUUGCCCUUAAAAACCGGCUUGUAAGGAAAGGAUGCCCUUGAACUCUUAAACCAUUCUAUAGGAUAUGCUCUUUUUCCAAUGUGGGAUCUUGAGUCCUAACAGACGGCUAAUCUUUGCCCCCCUCUAUUUUAAGCCCCUAUGUCUCUCAUCUCCUCUAAUUUCCCUUCUCCUCCUCUCAUCCCCUCACCCACACACCAGUUCCUUUCUCUCCCCCUUCCAUGAGAUUUGAAACCCUAAAAUCCUCCUCUCCCCUUACGAUUUUCUUAGUCUAUUGGCUUGUUGCAGCUGCUUCUCCCUCCAACCCACCCUCAUAUCUGGCUUUUGCUAUGGACGUGUGGUGGACUAUGUCAUUUAAUGGUCAAUUUUGACCCCCCCUGGAUCACUUGAGUAUGAUGAAUGUUGGUGGCUUGCUCCUCCAAAUCCAUGCUAUACAAAUCCUUGUUGGUUUCUUUGGACAUUCUCCUUCUAACAGCGGCGGCGGCGGCGUCGAUUCUGUUUUUCUGUUUUGGGCCUAGAAUUGGGCUUUUAUUUUCUUUUAUUGGUUGAGCCCUUGUUUCUCUCUUUUUGACUUUGUAUUGGGUUUUAUGCCAUAGUAGUUAUGAUAUUUAGAACAUACAAUCCCGAUCUCUUGGACUACAGGGGUGCAAGAGUUAUGCCAUUAAUUUCUGUCAUAAUAAUUAUGAUAUUUAGAACAUGCCUCUGUUCCAAAACUGUAAACCAUAAAUAUUUAGAACAUCAACGCAUUCCACAAAUCAUGUCUCCACCUACAAAUCACACUAAACUUCACCCAAAACCGUAAAUAUGCCUCUAUUCCAGGUAUAGCCACCUCAAAACUUGUAAUCGAGGUUCCUAGAAACUUCAUACCUCUAGUCCAGGUAAUUAAACCCAUAAGCCACCUCUAGUCCAGAUAAUGAAAUCCAUAAGUUACCUCUAGUAUAGGUAAAAAUGAAACCUCCACAACAUAUAUAGUCACACCAAAGUAUAUUGAGAUGAAACUCCAUUAACAAAUGCUUUGAAAAACCUAAGAAAAAAUGCUGAAUUUAUCAAGGGUAAAAUUGCCAUAUUUGUUUCAAACUAGCAUGAUUGUAGGAGAUGCCUAAAUUUUAGGGAGGUGCUUUCAUAGACUUCCAUUUCUGGAAGUGGCAUACACUGUUAAUUCAUUAAAAAUUGUGGACAUACAUGGUGGUUGGACUACAAUUGAAAAAGUAGAGCAUGUGGACUGCCCCAUAAUUUUUCCCACUUGAAUUCAUCCCAAUCGUGUCCUACAUCACAUAUUGUGCGUCUCUAUCAACGCUUACAUACUUGCAGAGAUCCAAACCUUGAAAGUUGUCUAAUCUCUCUAGGAACCCCAAACCUCUAGACGGUGACAAACUCUCACUUUGAUUUCAUUUGAGGCUUAGCCCCUACAUAGCCUUUUUUAAGUAGGCUCACAGAGAACCCUAAUUUUGUUAGCUACCUAAAUCCUGAAGAAACUAGGAAAUCAAAAAUACCCAGAACGACCUCAAAACCCCAUGAAGAGAACAGAAAACAAGCAGCACAGUACAGUCCCCAUAAAAAUCACCUUGCCUGAAUGUAUACAAUAUUCCCACACGAAAAAAAACUGUAAACACGGGUUGAAGAACUCCAAAUUUAGAGCUGCUGCACAAGACUAACAUGAAUACUUAGGUCAAAAUUUCAUUAAAUUCUUUAUCUCUAUAGAAGUAGAGUGGCAUUGCCAUAAAGUCCACCAAGGAUAAAAAAAAUAAGUAUCUUAAGCUCUAAUAUUUGACCUAGCAAUAUCAUGGCCUAUGGAGGACUUUGAUUAUGCGAUUUUAACGUGCCAUCUUCCAAUAAAGUAAGAGUUGGGAUACCCUAUGUGUUAAUAUUGUGCUUUAGAUUUAAUCUGUUACCUCAAUUUAAUCAGUACAAGUUCUUAUUCUAUUUGCCUCAAUCGAAAAUUCGAAUUUCUGCGAGUUGGGUUUGUUGCUGUUAAUUAAUUCCCUAAGUUUUUCAAAGGUAUUAAUGACUACGACAAAUUGUAAAUCCAUGUUCUUGUAUGUUCAAGUAAUUCCAUUUCAAAAAAAAUAUUGUAAUCCUUUUUUUUUUUUUUUUUUUUUCCCAUUAUGUUGUUUUUUUGUUUCUUUACGGGGCUGACGUUUAAAAGCUUUUCAUGUAACAGAGACAGAUUAAAUUCUCUAAAUGAUGGUUCCAAUAUUUCUCAUUUUAGCUGGAGAAUGAAAACCACACCAAACUCAGUACGGAACUUGAGGAGAAGAACCGCCAGCUGAGGUACAAAUUUAUUAAAUCAUCAUGAACUUGUAAGAUAUAUGUGGCUGUUUAGCUGGUAUUGUUGUUUGAUGUUUCUGCUGGAAUUGGACUGGCUUGCAACAGGCAGAUGAAAGGUGAGGAUCUUGAAGAGCUGGAUCUGGAUGAGUUGCUGAAGUUGGAACAACUGGUGGAAGCAACCCUUGUCCGUGUGAUGGAAACUAAGGUCUGCCCCUUGUGUAUGCAGAGUAUAUUUUAAUUGCUCUGUGUUGUGAAAAGCAAAUAAACUAACAUCUAAAUGCAAAUUUCAGGAAGAACUGAUUAUGAGUGAUAUUGUGGCACUUGAGAAAAAGGUUAGAUGAUUGAUACGUACUCUGUAAAUGAAAACAAAUUUCAGCAUAAAUAAUCAGCAUAAAUAAUCAUAACAAAGUUUGGCUCUGGUUUUCUCUUGCAUGCACCAACUAUAAUUUCAGGGAACUGAGCUGGUAGAAGCCAACAAUCAGAUGGUGAUGUUAAGGGAGAGGGUAAGCAACAUAUAUAUUGUUCUUAAUAAAAGAUGGGUUGAUCCUUUUUUCUUUUUUUAAAAUAAAUAUUUUGUAUUUUUUGCAUAGCAGAUGGUGAUGUUAUCCAAAAGAAAUACUGGACCUGCGCUUAUGGAGCCAUCUGAAUCUGCUACCUCCACCAGCUGCAACAGUGCUCUCAGUCUCUCUCUUGAAGAUGACUGUUCCGACGACGUCGUUUUAUCUCUCAAACUGGGGUGAGCUAGCUUUCUUUUGCUUUGCUAUUUGUGUAUAUAUAUAUCUUUGCUUUUUAAGUUUGAUGAGAUCAGAGAAUAGAAGUUUUAGAAUUUUGAAUACUCGGUCGGUUGUCGUGCAAUACAGAACAACUAGGAUAUUUUCUGUACUUGUCAACUUGAUUCUGGGUUUCAAUUUUAACUUUACCAAACCAAAAAUAUUGGAUGUUUUCUGUACUUGACAAUAUUUUUUUAUUAUAGAAAUGUUAUUUGAAAGUCAUCAUGAGUUUCAGAUAUUUACAGUAAUAUGUUUUUGGAAAAAAGAUAUAUCAUUUGGGGCUAACCAAAGUGUUUUCACCUCUUUACCACUUACCCUCCCAAGCAUUUUAAUUAUUCAUGGUAUUUUAUUUAUUCUUCACCAUUUUUAAUAAAUUUUCUUUUCACUUUACUAUGAAUUUCAGGCGUCCCUAAUUUCCUUGGUUAAGAAGUGGAGAAAGAUGAAAGUUUACUCUCCUUAUAGCUAAAUAAAGAAAGUUGUGGUAUUGUGAGAUAUCGAUGAUUGUGUGUUUUAAUUUGAUAGCAGAUUGAAAAUAUUGAAGGGAGAGUAACUUUGUGUUGUAUCAAAACAUGUGUAUUACAUGCAACCUGUGACAUAUUGCUCUUUGACUUUGUAUUGUAUUUAGAACUCUGUAUCAAUGCAGCCUGCGUGGAGAGACUUGUUAAUUUUGUAUUGUUUGGGUUAUCAAUGUCACACAGGCUAACGGUACGCGCGGGUCGUAGACCGAUGUGCUUAAAGACUUAGAUGUCUUUCUUCAUUGUUUUCACGUUACAAAGCUCAUUUCAAGAUAUCGUGAAGUUUAGUCCCACGAAUGACAUUAUAGGUAAAAUUGUUUAUUUAUACUAUUACAACUCAUGUACACCAAAACUUAAACCAGACAAAAACAAGUGAAAUAAAUUUUUAAUGUAGGAACCAGAAUGUUUAAGAAGAAACUCAUAUAAUUGUCUGCGUGGAUUAAAUCAACACAAGUGGCCUGGGGAAAGUAACCUGAGCAAGAUAAAGACGAAGCCAUGUGUCAUGGUGGGCUCAAUCAAGUGGCUUGACAGCGCAUGACCUGUGUCAAAGUGCCAUCCUCCACACCCAAAAAAAAAAAAAAAAUUUCUUCUUUCCUUUGUAGCCUGACACGUAAUAAGAAUUUUACCGACAGAAAAAACAAAACUUAGAUAUUUCUGACAAACUCCUUCACAAAAAGUCAGAUGCCACAUUUUCUCAAGUCACAUAUCAACGGUGGAGAUUGCAUUCAUCAACGUCAACAGCAUCUGUGCCCGUCGAUUUGCUCAGGUUUCUUAACCUUGUUUCCCCAGAAGAUAAUAGAAGAAUAUAUUUUUCCAUAUAAAGGAAAAUUCAUAAAUCAUUUCAUUUCCUUUCUUGACCAACAACAAGACAGCAGCAGCAGCAGCCAUUUCUCUCUCUCAUUUCGAACGCAGACCCCGAAACCCACCAACGAAGGUAAACAUUAAACAAAGAGGAAAACCCAGAAUUUAAUUCAUUAGGGUUCUUCUCCUCCUCUUCUUCUUCUUCUUUGUGUUUUGGGUGGUGGGUUUUUCUGGGUUUUGUUCAUUUAGAUCUGGGAACCAUUAAAAGUUUAAAAUUGAGAAGAAACCCAGAAAAUAUUGUAUAGUUUUUGAGUGUAUGUGAAAAGUGGUUGGUUUGAAUUUUUUUGAAGAUGAUGAGGAAUAAGAUCAAGAUCAAGAAGAUUGACUACUUGCCUGCAAGGCAGGUGACCUUCUCAAAAAGGAGAAGAGGGCUCUUCAAGAAAGCUGCAGAGCUAUCUGUUCUGUGUGAAUCUGAGGUGGCAGUUGUCAUCUUUUCUGCUACUGGCAAGCUUUUUGAUUAUUCAAGCUCAAGGUACCAGCAACAUACCUUAUAAUUAUUUUGACUUUUCCUUCCUUGAAAAAAUAACAAUAUGUAUGAUCAUGAUGUCUCUGAAGUCUGAUGACUUCACUUCUCUCUGUGUGGGUGAGAGAGAGAGAGAGGGGGAGGGAGAUUCUGAGAUCCAGUCAUUUGGUUAGAAAUAUAUUUAGAGGAGAGGGAGAGUGCCUUUAUGGAAAUUUCCUGUCCUUCCAGAAAUUCCAUGGUUUGAACUGUGCAAACAGACAUUAUUUAUUGUAUCUAAGCUUCCAACAGAAAAAAUGGAGAAUCCAGAAGCUUCCAGAGAGACUUUUAGAUAGGUUUUUUUUCUGUUGUCGUCGAAAUAUACUUUUAGAUAGUCAUACUCUGUUUCAAAAAAACCUAGUUCGAGGGUCACUACCUUGUAUAUCUAUCCACUUAAGGAAAAUAAAGUCUGCUUUUGACUAAGACAACUUCUGGAAAGAUGUGGUGUGUAUGAUGGUGAUGUUCUUUUCUUGUACUACAUGCAUGCAUAUGUAAAACUGUGUACGUAUAUAUCUUGUUUAGCAAAUUCUGUAAUCUUAAACCCUUAUACACAAGUAUAUCUCGCUGCUUCAAUCUCAUCCUUUCCCACCUAUCACAUGUUGGUAAUAGAUAUUAUAUAAUAUCUUAGGUGGGGCCUAUACAAUGAAGAAUAUCAUUGUCCAAGUCCAAAUUAAAAUUAAUGUUCCCUUGUGAGAGACACGAUAUGUUAGACCAUCAAUCGAAUCAUACACUCAAAUAAUAUAACAGACUUUUUUUAAAUUCAUAGUUUAACCACAUAAAAUGAUAGUGACUAUAGCUAGUGAGUGAGUAUUCGACCCUUUACAAUAUGUAUAUACAUCUAUAUGUAUAUAUGUUAUCCUUCGAACAUUCUUCCCACUUAAAUUAAUGUUCUCUUGUGAGAGACACGAUAUAUUAGACCAUCAAUCGAAUCAUACACUCAAACAAGAAAGCAGAUUAACAAUUCUAGAUUCGUAGUCUGAUCACAGGAAAUGUUAGAUAAUCUAGCUAGUAAGAGAGUAUUUAACUCUUUACCAUAUAUAUACAUAUCUAUAUGUAUCUUAUCCAUCGAAGUUAAGAUAUUUGUGGGUUGUGUUUGAAAAGGACCUAAAAGACAAAAUGCCCGUACAUUAAUGUGGUUGCAAACAUUGAAUUAUAUGUUUGUAAUUUUCUUACUAGGAAUAAAGUGGUAUGAUGAUAACUUGAGAAUUCAUCAUAGAAGCCUUGAAGACUUUCAGCAGGAAUAUGCAUGCAUGCUUUCAACUAGGGCAAUGGGUGGUGGAGCUAUGACCAUAACAUGUUUUUGCCAUGGAAUAAGAAUUAGAUGUGCAUGCAUGAGAGGAAGGAAAGAGAGGGAGGGUGAGAAUGAAAUGUUAACUAUGGAAUAAGAAUUUAAAUAAGGUCACGCAUCCUUUCAUUUAUAUUUUUUAAAAAACACACAAACUAGAAAUACCACCUCCAAAGUGGUCUUCUUUAACCCAAAAAUAUACUCUUAAGGUGGUCUUAUAUGGCGAUACUAUUUGCAAGAGAGUGAAUGUCGUUAAACAUUUUUUUUUUUUUUUUUUUUAAAAAAAAAGCUUUGAUACAAAUGGAGGUGUCAGUUAAAAAUAACAAAUUGGAGACGACAUUUAAUUGUUUAUGUCUGUAUGCAAUUUCUAAUCAGUUUCCUUUAAAAGUUAUUUUUCUAGGUUUCCUAAUUGACAUGUUAUAUGCAAAGUUAUUUUAUAUAUUUUUUUAAAGGUUUUCUAAUUGUAUUUAUAUUCAAGUACCAGAGUACUUGCAACCAAAACAAAAACCGUGAAAUGAAUAUUUUACUAUUACAUUAUUUUUCAAACUUCUCGAAGUUUCCUAGUAGAGCAAUAUUGGUCCGAAUUCUCCAAGUUUGGAAAAGUAUUGCUCUUGGAUAUUAUACUAUAUUUUCAAAGAUUUAUUUAGUAUUGUGUCGAAAUAUUUAUAUAGGAACUCCAAAGUCAUGUGUGUUCAUGAGACUUGCCCAAUAUUAUUAUUAAGUUUUGAGAUGUUUCAUUCAUAUUUGUAUUUUGAAACUCUUAAGGGCUUGUUUAGCGAGGCCAUGUUAUAACAUGUUGGAGUCCUUAGCCACUUACACCAAGUUUUCUUCCCAUUUUAGUCGGUUCACCACUUCAUAGUACAUCUUCUUCCCAUGUCUUAGGUCCACCACUCCCUAUGUUGUCACUUGGUUGUUUAAUGUUUUACAUGAUUCCAAGUUUUCUACUAGAUUUUCAUGUCCUAUUAGCCUAGCUUUGGGGAGUCUAGAUCCCCUUGUUCCAGUGGGAUAAUACUAUUCACUACAAGGGUGACUUUUUAAGAAAGUAACAAUCCUUUAGACCGAUAAGGAUGAUAAAUCAAGCUCAUAAUGUUGGUGCUAUGACUACCUAUGCAAGUACCAAAAAUGGGUCAAUUAAGGAGGUAGAAGUCGUAUGAUGAUUUUAGUCUUUCUAGAUGAUGCGAACAAAAUUCAAGAGCCGUGCGUCCUGUAAAAAGCUAGAUGAAGAUGGCUAAAACACUUGUUCGAGACACUACUUUGGACCUUUAAUAUUUUCUUCAAUUCUGUAAUUUGGUUGAAAAUACUUACAUUGUGGGCGUCUACUUGCAUUAAUGACGCAUCGUGACAAUCGGAUGACUAAAGAUUUAGCUUAAAACACACAACUUUGGAAUCCACCAUGAAGUAGUGAGGAAACCUUAAGUUUAUUGAUAAUCUGAAAUAACAUAACCUAACCCUAGCCACAGGUUAAAAAUUCUUUAAAUACCCUAGAAGCCCUACUAAUAAACAAGGAAUUAAAAUAGGAAAAAUUACAAAGUUUUCAAAAACUUAUAAGACAUAAAAACUGGAUUUUGGGUUGUUAACGAUCUCGGAUGCCUGAAAAAGCUGUUCUCUUCGAAUCAAUGGGUCAUGGGCCCAAACUUGCAGCUUUCUAAGUGUGCCCUUUAGCGCGCCUCUUCAACUCUUCUUCAAUUGCCUUCGACAUCUUUUCUACAUGAAUUAAGUAUGUUCAAAGAAGAGAGUUCUUGUCUAAGAUGUCUUAACCACGUUUUAGUAUUUCGAUCUCUAAGGGCGUAUUGAGGAAUGGAGAUGAUGAUGUCGGGACAUUGUAGAAAGCUGGUGUCGGGAUGAUGGUUGUGGAUUUAUUCACCUAGUAGUGACUUUUGAAAUGUUUUGCGCAAAAUGAGUGGCUUUCUUUACCCGUUUUCUAUUCUGCCUGAUGGCUUGUGAAAAUUUUGGUACAAACACUAACUUAACUAGUAUGUGGUUUAGUAAUCAAGCAAGCAAGAUCUUAGGCAGUAGAAGUUGCCUAAGAUUGGCGAGUUUUGGUUUUCGGAUGAUUGCCAAACCACGACAAGUUGGUUUGUUUAAUGGUUCUUUCUAGCUUGGUAUGAGGUCACUCUGGGGAGCUUGAGUUUUGGUUUAAGAUUUAACAAUCAAUCUAUUAGAAGAUACAUAAGUGUAACAAUCAAUCUAUUAAUAUUCAUAGGCGCGAAAGAUUUUUCCAAUGUAUUGUUUAUCAAUCUUUUCCACCAACAUCGAAUGACCCCAUACAAGGAAAAAUGAAUUCGAAUUCAAGUAAAUCUUUUUUUUUUUUUGUCAAAUGGUGAUAUUUCAUUUCGAAACCUCGUCAAAAAUGGGGAGGGCACAAAAACUACAAAACAAAGCAACCUAGAAAGGAAGCUCACUAAUACAAUGCGUCUGAUCUCUAUUAGAGAUACGAUAUAUAAGUUGGUCUCUAAAGAUAGUCACCCUAGCAUUUUCCAUAUAUAAAUGCCUUGUGUUGUAAACUAUCUCAGUUGCUUGUUGGGUUGGUCUUUUAUAUAUAUAUAGGGACAUUCUCCAAUAAAUAUUCAUUAAAUAUGUUGGUAGUCUCUUAGGGACCGUAUAUAUAUAUAUAUAUAUAUAUAGGUUUUCUAUAAAAUAUCUAUGAAGGAAUUUGAUUUGACGUUUUGAUUUGCAUAACCAAACCAUGCGAUAAAGCCAGCAGCAAAUAGCUUCACGUUCUCAUUAUGCAUAUAAAACAAGUAUUUAUUUCAUUUCAAAAUCUCCAAAAUCAUAGUUGUGAUGUGGUCUUGAAUGAAACCCUUUUCUGAUGCUAUCAAGGAACAGUACUAAUGGUACAAAAAUAUCCAAAUCUGUAACAUAUAUAUUUUUUAAUUUGUGGGGGAAGGGAGGGCUAAAUUAGUUAAUUUGCUUUUCACUGUUGAAUUUACUUUUUUAAUAAAUCAUAGUUAGAUUAUUGCAUGCAUGUCCAAAGUGGUUGGUUAGAUUAUUGCAUGCUAUUUUUUGUAAAAACAUCUAAUGGAAUUAUUCUUUGUACUUGUUUUCUCUUGAGAUGAUUGGGUUAUUCUAUGGUGUAGCCCUUUUUUGGAUCUCCAAUAUAUAACUGGAAAAAUUCUGGGUCUGCAGAAAAUUGGAAAUCCAAUCCUGGGUUUGCUUGUAUUUUGCUUUAUAAUUGAAAAUGAAAUUAUGGGUUUGCAUUAUAAUUGGAAACCAAAUUCCAACACAAAAAGUUCUGAAUUUUUUGCAGUGGGGGGUAAGUUGUAGAUCACUCUGAUUGCUGGUUAUGUUAGUUAGAGACACUUAAGUAUGAAAAUAAUUCAAUUUUUUGGCAAGAUGCCAUCAUGCUUUAUGGCUUAGCGUUGAAGUUAUGCCAGUGAUAAAUUGCAGAUUAUCAAAACCCUGAAUUAGACAUUAGUGUGUGUGUCUUGGUGUUUGCAAACCAGAAGUUUGAAUAAUGGGGUUAAAUUCUUUUCCAUUUUUUUGUUUCUCAUGUAUGUUUUGUCACAUGUUAGUUCUUCAAUGUCUUAACAAUUUACUAGUGAACAUGCCGAUUGAUUUUUAUUUUUUUUCGUUUUUUGUUAUGAAGUACCAAGGAUGUUAUUGAAAGGUACAACGCAGACAUAAAUGGUGUCGAAAAAUUGAACAAUCAAGAGAUUGAGCUGCAGGUAAAUGAGUUCAAUGGUUACCUUUUCCGUUUCCCCCUUUUAAAUUGUUCUGCAAUUAAUGGUAACAUACUAUGUAAUCUGCACUUUGGAGCUUCAAAAUAUCUCUCUAUGUAGCAUCUGAAGGUUCUGAUUGUUUGAACAUAAAUAAAAACAUUAUUUCCUGUUACAUGCCAGACUUAUGUACAUAUGCAUGCAGCAGGGGUCGGCCUCUUGGGCUAAAUAUAUGUAGUUAGGUGGCUUUGAUAAGUCCAUUUCUAGUGGGACUUAUGAAUUUGGUCUACAGAUGGAAGGAAAUAGUAGUCUUGGGCCAAGUCCUGGUGUUGUUUUGAGAAUUAGCCAAUGAAAUAGAUUCAUCAGCAACUAUCAAUCAAUCAUAUUUUUUUUCAGCAAAAAAUACCCUGAACGAUCGCAAAACCCACAAAAAUAAAUAAUAAUAAUAAUAAUUUCCCUUGUUGCCCCAGCACCAGAAGACUCUAAACACAAAAAUUUGGAGCAGCUUAGCACAAGAAUAACAUGAAUACUUGGGUCAAAAUUUCAUUAAACUCCUUAUCUCUAUAGAAUUUGAGUAAUCAGGAAAGAAACUCUGUUUUGGUGCUAGAGUAGUGGUUGGUUGGGGAGUAAAAAUGUUGAAGUUUUUGCCCUAACAAUAUGGAUGAGUGGUAUCCUGCCAUCUUCCAAUAAAGUAAGAUUCCCCUACGUGUUAAUAUUGUGCUUUAGAUUUAAUCUGUCAUCUCAAUUUAAUCUGUCAUCUGUUCUUUUUCCAUUUGCCUUUAUCUAAGUUGGGUUUGUUGCUAUUAAUGAAAUCCCUAAGUUUUUCUAAGGUAUUAAUGACUAGGACAAAUUGUAAAUCCAUGUUCUUGUAUGUCCAAGUAAUCAUUUGAUUCCAUUUUCAAAAAUAUAUUGUAAUCCUUUUUGUUUUUUUUUCCCCUUAUAUUUUUCGAUGCUGACGUUUAUAAGCUUUUCAUUUGACAGAGACAGAUUAAAUUAUGUAAUGGUUCCCAUAUUUAUCAUUUUAGCUGGAGAAUGAAAACCACAUCAAACUGAGUAAGGAACUCGAGGAGAAGAGCCGCCAGCUGAGGUACAAAAUUCAUGAUCUUGUAAGAUAUAUGUGGCUGUUUAGCUGGUAUUGUUGUUUGAUGUAUCUGCUGAAAUUGGACGGGCUUGCAACAGGCAGAUGAAAGGUGAGGAUCUUGAAGGGCUGAAUCUGGAUGAGUUGUUGAAGUUGGAACAACUGGUGGAAGCAAGCCUUGGCCGUGUCAUGGAAACUAAGGUCUGCCCUAGCUAUUUUAUUUUCUAGUAACCAGUGCCCUAGCUUCUUCUUUUUCUUUUUCUUUUUUUUUCUUUUCUGGAUGAUUCUUGACUGAAGACAUAAGCAAUGAACCGUUAGAAUAAUAUAAAGUAGGUCUUUGUUUGAAGAAGUAUCGUCUCAGUAAAUAGGGUAUAUUUUUAUUGCUGUAUUUUGUGAAAAGCAUAGGUGUAUUCUGAGUUGUCACUAAGCUUUAUUUUCUGAAAACUAACAUCUAAAUGCUGUUCCUUUCUUUUCCAGGAAGAGCUGAUUAAGAGUGAGAUUAUGGCACUUGAAAGAAAGGUUAGAUGAUUGAUACGUACAGAUCUGUAAAUGGAAACAAACGUAAAAUAAUCACGACUUAAAAACAUAUAUAAAUUAACAUCAAUAAUCAUAACCAAGUUUGGCUUUGGUUCUCUCUUUCAUUCACUGACUAUAAUUUCAGGGAACUGAGCUAGUUGAAGCUAACAACCAGCUAAGGCAGACGGUAAGCAACUACCACAAUCAUGUACAUACUUCUUCUUACUUUUUCUUCUCCUCUUUUUGUUUUUUGAGAGGAAGAGUGCUCUUAAUAAAAGAUUAUGGGUUGAUCUUUUUUUCUCUUGUAAUUUUUUGCAUAGCAGAUGGUGAUGUUAUCCGGAGGAAAUACUGGACCUGCGCUUAUGGAUCCGGAGAGGUUGAAUAAUAAUAUUGAAGGUGGAGGAGAAGAAGAAGGCAUGUCAGCUGAAUCUGCUAUCUCCACCACCUGCAACAGUGCUGUCAGUCUCUCUCUUGAAGAUGACUCCUCCGAUGAGGUCACUUUGUCUCUCAAACUGGGGUGAGCUACUUUUGCUAUUUGCUAUUUAUAUGCUUUUAAGUUUCAUCUGAGAAGACAUGCUUGAUCAUUGCUUUAUUUGAUGGUACGCGGGCGUCGUGCAAUAAGAGGGAGGAGGAUAUUUCCCUUCCCUUGUGUUGUGAGGGUUUUGCUUAGAUUUAUUUCUGUACUUGUCAACUUUAUCUUGGGUUUCAUUUUUUAACUCUACCAAACCAAAAUAUUUGGAUUUUUAGAAAAGAAAAACUAUGAAUUGCUUAUCCCGCCGACAUUUUUUUUAAAUAUAGAAGUAUUGACAAUUCUCAGAAGUCAUCAUGAAUUUCAGAUAAAUUGUACAAAAACAAUUGCGCGAUGAUUUAUUUCCCAGCAACUUCAAUAUUUUCAGUAAUACAGUAUAAGUGCUCAUUUGGGCCUAACUGUUUUCACCUAUUUACUACACCGGAGCUUCUACAAUGAGGAGUUUAGAGUGAGGAGCUUAUUUGAGGGGUUUAAUCCCACUAUCAAACUAUUUAAAAUGUUUAAGUUCAUUGAUUUUCUCCCAUUUGUUGAUGGUGGGAUUGAACUCUUCAAAUAAGUUCCUCACUCUAAACACUUCAUUAGAGCCUUUCCGUCUACAUACUAACCCUCCCAAUUCGAUUGAAGAUGUUUUAGGGGUUUGUAGAUCAAGUUUCUUUUGAGGUUUCAUUUUUAUGUAUUUGGGCCAUUUCAUUUUUUGAGUUUAUUUAAAUUGAAAGAAGUAAGUGACUUUCACUGAAAUUUCACAUUUUUUUAAAUUAUAUUUUGUUAUAGAAAAUAAUAGAUGGCUUAUGUGAAUUAACGUCAUCGUUAUUGCAUAGUAUGGCAAUCUAAAUAAAAUUAAUUUAAACAUUUUUUUGUAUGAAAAUAAAAAUAAUUAACUUUCCCGCAUUGUUUUAUGAAAAUUACAGAAAGCUUCAGUUGAAGAAUCCCAACACUGAAAGGGGCUGAAAAUGUAGGGGAGAAUUUAUUCCACACCCACUAUGACAGCGUAACCUGCAUAAUACAAGUUAAAACAUCCCCACAAACAAAUGUUGGUGCACAGUUGCAUUCAUGGAAUUUUAUUUAUUCUUCACAUUUUAAAUAAAUUUACUAAUCAUUUUGUACGUAUUUUCUCUGAAUUUCAGGCGUUAAGAAGUGAAGAAAGAUGAAAGUUUACUCUCCUUAUAACUAAAUAAAUAAAGUUGAGGUAUUGUAAGAUAUCAGUAAUUGUGUGUCUUAACUCGACAUAACAUUGAAAAAUAUCAAAGGGAGGGUGACUGUGUGUUGUAUCUAAACCUAUGCGUUACAUGCAAGCUUGAAAUUGCUCUGACUUUGUAUUGUAUUUAAAACUCUGUAUUAAUGCAGCUUGCAUGGUGAGUUAUGUUGAUUUUGAAUUUGCUUGGGUUAUCAUUGUCACAGCGAGACACGUACUGUUUGCGUGGAUUAAAUGGAUAAAAGUGAACUGGGGGGAAGGAACCUGAGCAAGAUAUAGACAGCCACGUGUCGCAUGGUGGGCCCAAUCAAGUGACAUGACAGCGAAUGACCUGUCUCCAUCCGACUCCACAUAAAAAUAAAAUUUAUUCAUUUUUUUGUAACCCUACACGUAGUAAGAAUUAAACCGACAACAAACUAAACUUAAGAUACUUCUGAACGAAAAAACAUAACUUAGAUAUGGACAAAAUCGAUCACAAAAAGUAAGAUGCUACAUUUUGUGCUGACGCAUUACAAGAUCAACGGUGGAGAUUGCAUGCAUCAACGGCAAGGUGCAUCUGUCCCCGUCGAUUUGCUCAGGUUUCUUACAUUGUUUUCCCAGAAGAGACCGAAAGUAAAGCAGAGGAUAAUAGAAAUAGAUGUUUUCCAUAAAAAGGAAAAUUUCCUUUCUUGAACAACCAGCCACCACCAGCAGCCGCCCUUUAUCUCUCUAGUUCUCUUAGUUUUUCUGGACAGACCAAAACUUCAGACCGGGCUGAAACCCCGACAAAGGUAAACAUUAAAAACAGAGAGGAAAACCCAGAGAUUAAUUAAAUUAAUUAGGCUUCUUCUUCUUCUUCUUCUUCCUCUUCUUCUUUUUGUUGUGAACUUGUGACCUAUUUUGGUUGGUUUCUUCUUCUUCUUCUUUUUGUUGUGAACUUGUGACCUAUUUUGGUUGGUGGGUUUUUUCUGGGUUUUGUUCAUUUAGAUCUGGGGACCAUUAAAAGGUUAAAUUUUGAGAAGGAACCCAGAAAAUAUUGUGUAGUUUUUGAGUGUAUGAAGAUAAUAAUAUAUGUGAAAAGUGGUUGGUUUGAAUUUUUUUGAAGGGAAACGGUGAAAAUGAUGAGGGAGAAGAUCAAGAUCAAGAAGAUUGACUACCUGCCAGCAAGGCAGGUGACCUUCUCAAAGAGAAGAAGAGGGCUCUUCAAGAAAGCUGCAGAGCUAUCUGUUCUGUGUGAAUCUGAGGUGGCUGUCAUCAUCUUCUCUGCUACUGACAAGCUCUUUGAUUAUUCAAGCUCAAGGUACCAGCACCCACCACUAAAUACCUUAUAAUUCUUUUGACUCUUUCCUUCCUUGCAAUGAUAACCAAUAUGUAUGAUCAUGAUGUCUGAAGUUUGACUUGACUUGUGUGUGUGUGUGUGUGCGAGAGAGAGAGAGAGAGAGAGAGAGAGAGAGAGAGAGAGAGAGAGAGAGAAUCUGAGAUUCAGUCAUUUUGGUAGAAAUAUAUUUAGAGGAGAGGGUGCCUUUUAUGGAAAUUACCUGUCCUUCCUGAAAUUCCAUGGUUUGAACUCUGCAAACAGACAUUAUUUAUUGUGUCAAAGGCAAAUAGAAGCUUCUAGAGAGAGAGAGAGAAAAUCUUUUAGAUAGUUAUACUCUAUUUCAAAGGCAACUAGUUCGAGGGUUACCACCUUGUAUAUUUUUUAUUAAGACAACUUCUAGCUAGGUGUCGCAGUUUGAGAAACAUUAUAUGAUGAUGUUCUUUUCUUGUACUGCAU
rnacentral:lncRNA from 1 species